CAGGAUUACUACCUCAGUUUAUAAUCUACCUGGUCAUUAUUUUUUUUCUAUUUGGUUUGCUCUAAGAGUACAACAGCAUAAAAGUUGGUCAGGCUUUCGCAGAGCUCUUUUUCAGUGUGUUUUGUGCCCCUCUAUUUUAGGUAAUCAUAGGGAAUGCAUUUAUAGAGUCUGGUGUAACACCGUGGAAAUGCUAAAUUUCAAGCAUCAGCUGUGUCAGUUGGAAAGAAGGUAUUGCCUUGAAAAGAAAACUGAAAAUGUAUAGGCAUUCUUUUAAAACCAGACUGAAGUAUACUAUUUUAUUUCAGAGACUUAUGUUGUGUUUUGGGGUUUUAAAUCUUGCACCUCUGCAUAUAUGAAAAUAAUGGGAAAUCUUUACAUUUACUAGGCUUCCCUGGUGGCUCAGAUGGUAAAGAAUCUACCUGCACUGCAGGAGACCUGGGUUUGAUCCCUGGGUCAGGAAGAUCCCCUGGAGCCAAGGGAAUGGUAACCCACUCCAGUGUUCUUGCCUGGAGAAUCCAUGGACAAAGGAGCCUGGCGGGCUACAGUCCCUGGGGUCACAAAGACUCAGACGUGACUGAGCGACUGACACUUUACAUUUACUGGAUUUUGGAGAAUCGUUCUCUUGUGAUUCAACCUCACUGCUAAAUAUGUAAAAGCUUGGUGAAGAAUUCUUCCAUUUACUACCCUCCUUUAAAAGAAGUGAUCAGACAGCGCUGAGAAGGACAAAAGGGACCAUUUUAAAGUUGGACAAGGGAAAAACAAUUCUUACCAGUUUUGUCCAGAUCCUAAUUGUUAGAACAAAGUUAAAACUUCAGUCUUAAAAAGAAAAUCCUUGGAAGUUUUAAUUGAACAUUUUACACACUUAAAGUCUUGCAAUGGUGCUUUAUGUAUCAAUGUAGCAUAUGAAAGGCUUUGUGCAGACAAGUAAACAUUUCCUUUUUUAAGUGUUAAAAUGUGAUAACACCAUCUCCUCAUCUUUAACUUGAAAUCAAAACUAUCAGAUUUUAUUUUUUUAUAAUUUAGGGAAGAUGAAGUUAGGGGCCUAAAAGACUUAUAAAUUGGCUUCUUCAGAUCCAAUGACUUAAAUGUAACCAGUUUUUGUUGGGACUUUAUAAAAUUAUAUUGUAUAUAUAACUGUUAACUAAUCUGUAAAUUAUAAUAAAUAUAUUUGCAAUUAUUAAA